rnacentral:rRNA from 1 species
CCUACGGGCGGCAGCAGUGGGGAAUAUUGCUCAAUGGGCGAAACCCUGAAGCAGCGACGUCGCGUGAGUGAAGAAUUCCCUCGGGAUGUAAAGCUCUAUUAGUAUGGAAGUAAAUGACUGCACCUGACCAAUUUUCUCCGGCUAACUUCGUUCAAGCAGCCGUGGUAAUACGCAGGCAGCCAGCGUGAUACGGAGUUACUGGGUGUAAAGGGAGUGUAGACGGUUGGGCAAGUCUGUAGUGAAAGGCGGCGGACCAACCGGCGGACUGCCGUUGAAACUGUGUGACUGGAGUGCAGGAGAGGUAAGGGGAAUUCGUGGUGUAGCGGUGAAAUGCGUAGAUAUUAGGAAGAACACCGGUGGCGAAGGCAGCUUACUGGACUGUAACUGACAUUGAGGCUCGAAAGUGUGGGGAGCAAACAGGAUUAGAUACCCCAGUAGUC